UACGAAGGGGGCUAGCGUUGUUCGGAAUCACUGGGCGUAAAGCGCACGUAGGCGGAUUGUUAAGUCGGGGGUGAAAUCCUGAGGCUCAACCUCAGAACUGCCUUCGAUACUGGCAAUCUCGAGUCCGGAAGAGGUUGGUGGAACAGCUAGUGUAGAGGUGAAAUUCGUAGAUAUUAGCUAGAACACCAGUGGCGAAGGCGGCCAACUGGUCCGGUACUGACGCUGAGGUGCGAAAGCGUGGGGAGCAAACCGG
rnacentral:rRNA from 1 species